rnacentral:rRNA from 1 species
UACGUAGGGUGCAAGCGUUGUCCGGAAUUAUUGGGCGUAAAGGGCGCGUAGGCGGCUUGGCAAGUGGAUGGUGAAAUCCCUCGGCUUAACCGAGGAACUGCCGUCCAAACUGCUUCGCUUGAGACCGGGAGAGGUGAGUGGAAUUCCCAGUGUAGCGGUGAAAUCCGUAGAUCUACGAAGGAACGCCAAAAGCGAAGGCAGCUCUCUGGGUCCCUACCGACGCUGGGGUGCGAAAGCAUGGGGAGCGAACAGG